AUAAAUACCGAGGUAUAGCAGAGCUUGGAGAUAUAGCAAGUCACAUAGCAAAACAGAUACCUCCACAUACAAGUUUCUAAGCUCGUCUCUCGUGUUCAAACUCGAUCACCAUGUCGGACAAGUGCGGCAACUGCGACUGUGCUGACCAGAGCCAGUGCACGAAGAAGGGAAGCAGCUAUGCUGCUGACUUCGUGGAGACUGAGAAGAGCCACAUCGAGACUGUCUUCAUGGAUGCUCCGGCUGCUGAGAAUGAUGGCAAGUGCAAGUGCGGCAGCAGCUGCGCCUGCACCAAUUGCACCUGUGGCACCUGUGGUCAUUGAGCACAGAAACCCGAUGUUAUAUGCAUGUGCUGUGAAAGUCACCUAUAAUGUGGUUGUGACGUAAUUUUAAUGUUGUCCUCUACUGUCUUUUGUGCUUCUUCAGUGGCAUCUGCACCACGGUGCAGAUGCCUCGCUAAUAAUAUCAUGUAAUACCAUCUUUAUGGCUCAAUCAUAAAUGAACUAAUAUUAGUAUAA